rnacentral:rRNA from 1 species
UCCUCCGGGGAUGGUGGGGACGACUGUUGGGACCGCCUCUGCUAAAGAGGAGGAAGGGAAUGGGCAACGGUAGGUCAGCAUGCCCCGAAUUAUCUGGGCUACACGCGGGCUACAAUGGGUGGGACAAUGGGUAUCGACACCGAAAGGUAAGGCAAUCUCCUAAACCCAUCCGUAGUUCGGAUUGUGGGCUGCAACUCGCCCACAUGAAGCUGGAAUCUGUAGUAAUCGUGUCUCAAAAUGGCACGGUGAAUAUGUCCCUGCUCCUU